rnacentral:lncRNA from 1 species
CCGUUGGCACAGCUGCAGCUGCUGACGAAGGCGGGGGUGAGUUGUGAUGGAAGUCAGCUUCUCCAUCUCAGAGGCGGAACAAAAAAUGCUAUCAGCUCCCUCAGAUGCUGCCGGCACUAUUUACCUAAUUCCCACAACUCAGUGGCGGCAUAGGCAUAAGAAGAGGUGAGUUCCACCACUGUGGAAGGGGUCCCUGGGCUCUCCCCUGGGGUCCUAUCAGCUGCUUAUGUUCUACCUUCUGACAGAUCACAAGACGAGCCUGCAGCGGAGGAGCCUCCUCCUCCUGAACAUCAGACCUAACGGGAGUGUCCUGCUUGGAGGACGGGCUCGAGGUCGCACUAACGACUGUUGCUAACUCCUGUUCCAGGCUGUUUAUCUGGGCCUCCAAGUACCCUGCUUGCUCCUGGAGGUCUCUCACCCCCAGGUCCUGCUCAAAGCUGUGCGCUUGGGCCCCCAGGCCUGUGUCUUGCGCUGGAAGGUCCCUUACCUCUGGCACUGAGCAUGUACUUCCUGCAGUGCAGUCAGAAACGCCCAUCCGACUCUGCUUGCAAAGACUCAGUGCUAAAAGAAUUUGAAGAAGGAAAUCAACAAGGGAUGUUAAGAGGCAGGAGAAACGGUAACAAGCUGAAGCUGAAGAAAUGGGUAUGCUUUGAAAAGCAGCGAGAAAGGAACUAGGAGAAACAAGUAACCUGACAGAGAGCCAAGUGAACAUGAAAAAGACUAUCUUGGUGGAAGAAAAACUCCAAAGAAGGUGGGAUGGAAGUCAAGUCAAGAUAACAAAAUUUGACAUUUGUUUUUUUUACUAGUAAGUAUUUUCUAUUACAUUUUAAUAAAACAUUCAGGGCAAAAAGUUGUGUUAAUAUACGUUCCAAGUAGAAUUUCAGUCCUUAGUCUUUCUAUAACUUUUUGUCUUGCUUUUUUCUUCAGAAAUAUUUUGAUCUAUAUUUAGUCAUGG